UAUAGAGGUGGCAAGCGUUGUUCGGAAUUACUGGGCGUAAAGGGCGCGUAGGCGGUCUUUUAAGUUCCGUGUGAAAUCCCUCGGCUCAACUGGGGAACGGCACGGGAAACUGGAAGGCUUGAGUUCGGGAGAGGGAAGCGGAAUUCCGGGUGUAGCGGUGAAAUGCGUAGAUAUCCGGAGGAACACCGGUGGCGAAGGCGGCUUCCUGGACCGACACUGACGCUGAGGCGCGAAAGCUAGGGGAGCAAACGGG
rnacentral:rRNA from 1 species